AGGCCUAACACAUGCAAGCCGAGGGGUAAGUCUCUUUCGGGAGAACACGACCGGCGCACGGGUGAGUAACGCGUAUGCAACCUACCUUUGGCACGGGGACAGUCCGGGGAAACCCGGAUUAAUACCCGGUAUAGUCUAUUAUACACCUGUAUAAAAGACGAGAGCUACGGCGGCCAAAGAUGGGCAUGCGUGCCAUUAGUUAGUUGGUAGGGUAACGGCCUACCAAGGCAUCGAUGGCUACGGGGUCUAAAAGGAUGAGCCCGCACACUGGUACUGAGACACGGACCAGACUCCUACGGGAGGCAGCAGUGAGGAAUAUUGGUCAAUGGGUGGAAGCCUGAACCAGCCAUGCCGCGUGCAGGAAGACGGCCUUAUGGGUUGUAAACUGCUUUUCUACGGGACGAACGGCUCUGACGUGUCAGAGAUUGACGGUACCGUAGGAAUAAGCAUCGGCUAACUCCGUGCCAGCAGCCGCGGUAAUACGGAGGAUGCGAGCGUUAUCCGGAUUUAUUAGGUUUAAAGGGUGCGUAGGCUGGGCAAUAAGUCAGUGGUGAAAGUCCGCGGCUCAACCGUGGGAUUGCCAUUGAAACUGUUGUUCUUGAGUACAGUCGAGGUAGGCGGAAUGUGUAAUGUAGCGGUGAAAUGCAUAGAUAUUACCCAGAACACCGAUUGCGUAGGCAGCUUACCAGCCUGGAACUGACGCUGAUGCACGAAAGCGUGGGGAGCGAACAGGAUUAGAUACCCUGGUAGUCCACGCCGUAAACGAUGAUCACUCGCUGUUGGCAAUAUAGAGUCAGCGGCUGAGCGAAAGCAUUAAGUGAUCCACCUGGGGAGUACGUCGGCAACGAUGAAACUCAAAGGAAUUGACGGGGGCCCGCACAAGCGGUGGAACAUGUGGUUUAAUUCGAUGAUACGCGAGGAACCUUACCUGGGCUUAAAUGUAGCCGGACGAUUCCGGAAACCGGGAUUUCCUUAACGGCUGGUUACAAGGUGCUGCAUGGCUGUCGUCAGCUCGUGCCGUGAGGUGUCGGGUUAAGUCCCAUAACGAGCGCAACCCUUAUUCUUUAGUUGCCAGCGGGUAGAGCCGGGGACUCUAAGGAGACUGCCA
rnacentral:rRNA from 1 species